rnacentral:tRNA from 1 species
GAAGGUAUAGCUCAGUGGUAGAGUGCAUGCUUAGCAUUCAUGAGGGCGUGGGUUCAGUCCCCAGUACCUCCA